rnacentral:rRNA from 1 species
CCUACGGGAGGCUGCAGUGGGGAAUAUUGGACAAUGGGGGGAACCCUGAUCCAGCCAUGCCGCGUGUGUGAAGAAGGCCCUCGGGUUGUAAAGCACUUUCAGUGAGGAAGAACGCCUGGUGGUUAAUACCCAUCAGGAAAGACAUCACUCACAGAAGAAGCACCGGCUAACUCCGUGCCAGCAGCCGCGGUAAUACGGAGGGUGCGAGCGUUAAUCGGCAUUACUGGGCGUAAAGCGCGCGUAGGUGGCUUGAUAAGCCGGUUGUGAAAGCCCCGGGCUCAACCUGGGAACGGCAUCCGGAACUGUCAAGCUAGAGUGCAGGAGAGGAAGGUAGAAUUCCCGGUGUAGCGGUGAAAUGCGUAGAGAUCGGGAGGAAUACCAGUGGCGAAGGCGGCCUUCUGGACUGACACUGACACUGAGGUGCGAAAGCGUGGGUAGCAAACAGGAUUAGAUACCCUAGUAGUC